ensembl:lncRNA
UUUCCAAGCAGCAGCCCUGAGUGGCGAGCAGAUGCGUUGGGGCUGGUGUCCCAUCCGGGCUCAGCCCAUGCGACUAGGACAGCAGAUCGGGUCCUGUUUGUCACUUGGGGCCAGUGUCCUGCAUCCUGUCCACUGUGCUUUACUUCAUCCUGCUUUCUAGAGGGCAGAAAGUGGGUAUAUAGGGGCUGUAGCAGAGGAUAGGGUAGGCAGUGGCAAAAGAAGCUCCUUCCACCCACUCCACAGGUGUCCCUGAGCGUGUGUCAGACAGAGGAUUCAGGUCGUUAGAAUGUAGUGGGGUCUGCGUCCCUACGGAGAUGUACAGAAAGUGCUACGGCUCACAGGAGUGGGGGCCCAGGGCCUUUGCCUUGAGUUACAGCCUUUGUAUAAUUUAGUUUGAGACAGGGACUUGUUAAGACACUAAGUUACCUAAGUUGUACCAAUAAAAUAAAAUUUUUUUUAAAAGAACCAAAAUGGAUUAUAUAAAGGUGCAAAUUUCCAAUGAUGAAUGUCAUUAUAUUUUAUACCUUUAAUGUACCCAUAAAAUUAAUUUUUAAAAAAAGACACGAAGUUGCCCAGGUAGGCGCCAACUGGUGAUCGUUCUUCUUCAGCCUCCCACAGUGCUGGCACUGCAAGCAUGUGUCACCAUGCCCAGCUGAAAAUGCUUUCUGGACCCAAGGAACUAGCCAGCCUGUUUCCAUGAACUAAGGGUGAAAAAUGCCAGCUAGUGGAGAUUCUAAACCCCAGAGCACAGUGGGCCUUAGGAGCAUCUACCGCCUACCCAGGCACAUAACUGGACAUAGAAGCCUUCCCUUUGGGCCCAGCAUGCCUAACCAGCAGUGAGGGUGAAGAACAGAGGCAAACUUCUAGGGCCCCUACUCUCCUGGUGCCUGUUUAGUGGGUCAUGUAACUGAACAUUUCAGUAUAAAGGCUUCAGGUGAGGCUUGAUCCAGCAACUCAGAACGAUCAGCUAGGAGUCCUUCUCCUUCCAUCUCUCCUGUUUGCUAGCCACAGGGCCUUCUUCAUUUCAGGCAUCACAAGAUGCCUGUCCUCAGUUGCUGAGAUAGCUGGUAUUUUUUUCCAUUUGUAGCCCAGGGGAACAAGUAUCAAUAUUUCCCAGGAUCCUCCUUAACAGGUUUAGAGAUUCUCUGUAAUUGAAACAUCUUUAGGUCCUAGGCUACUCCUAAACAAGUCACUUUGGCCCAGAAGAUAGAAUGUGCUGCUGAGCUUGGCCAGGCUCACAUUGAAGGAAAGCCAGAGUCUACGAAACCCGCUGAGUGCUCCACAGGGACCAAGUCCCGAUGGGAGGAAGAAGUGGCUGCCGGGAGACAGAUUCCCCCAGCUGUUCCGUGAGCUGCACACCCUUGGGCGUGUCAGCUCCCCUCCUGGGACCUCAAUACCUUUAGUGCUACACGAGUGGUUGGACGAGGUGGCCCCCUAGAGGCACCAUGUGACUUCUCCCUCCAGGUCUAACCAGAGCUGCCCGGGGCCCACCUUUGCUUUGAAUCUCUGCUCUUUUCUCUUAAGCAGGAAGACUUAACCUCCACAUGACUCCUCUAACCACCGUCCUCCAGGGCUGGGCUCUGACUCCACUCCCUCGGGGGCCCUGGGCUUCAGAAGUGAGGUUAAGGAUCCAGAGCCUCAAGUCCCUGGAGAAAGAGCGGUUGUUUAUCUUGAUUCAUAAAAAGCCACGAAAGAAAGAGGUUUAAAAGCUCCAAGCAGGUUAUGGAUGCUGUAAACAGCUGAUGUGAUGGUUUUCAGAUGAAAAAUCACCCAAGAUAGAAGAUCGGGAAAGCAAGAUCUGGAGGUCAACUGGGCUCAUCUUCCUGUCCCUAGAUGAACGAUGGAUUCCUGUGCUCCCUUGGUGGAGAGCCAGAGCUGUAAAGAAGUUCCAGCUGAUUUGUGGAAUUUCUUCCCUAUCCAAACCCCAAAUCUUGUCUGGUGAGAACAGAAUGAAUCAGUGCACGAGUGAUUUCAACCUGAUGGGUGUGUGCAGCUCUGAGCCCAGAGAGAAGAGGGUACUCACCUUUGAGCAGCUGUCCAGUGGGUCCGAGGACAAGAAAGGGACAUGGACAGCCACGGCAGGGCCAGUAUGCCAGGGAUUAGAGCUACAUCGCCAGUCUUUAUUCCAGCUCUGUGACUUUUCCACGGAGACUUUUAGCAUCACUUGCUAACUUUCUCUGUGUGUCUCUGUUUCUUCAUCUAUACAAGUUUCUUCGUCUAUGCAUCUACAUAUAAUAUGUACUGUUAUAAAAUAAUAAGAGUUGUCCUCCUGUCUCUUGGAAGGAUUCAGUGAGAUAGCCCAUGUAAAUAUUUUUUCCAUGGAGACUAGCACAUAGUAAGUGCUCAGUAAAUGUCAGCUGUCAUUCAUUGGGGCAUUUAUCAGUGAUGGGGUCCAGAAGUCUCAGGGAGAGCCAGGAAGGGUGCCUGGAGUGGGGGCACUGACUGGAGACCUUGGCCUUGAUGGGAGGCGGCAGGGCUCCCCCGGCCAGGGCCCUGCCAGUCCAUGGCACUCUUCGGGUCACUGCGGUGCUGGCUGCGAAUGCUGAUUUCCGAGUGAGGAGCAGGGGGCUCCCUGGCAGUGAGGAAGCUGGCAGAUUGGAGCCCAGCUCACGCAGGUGCUCCGAAGCCAGACGGACACCGCAGCUCCUUCUAAGUGGGCAUUGGCCAGGAAGUAACACUACAGAAGGAGCCGCCUGGUAUCAGGCUGCUCCCUAAAGAAAGGGCGCUCUCAGCCUGGCCGGGGACACACGUCUGUGACGCCAGCACAGUGGGAGGCUGAGGCAGGAGGGUCACAAGUGUGAGCCCAGUGGAGCAAUAUAGCUCCCUACCAAGACACUGGGUUCAAUUCCCAGACUGGAAAGAAAGGAAAGAAGGAAGGAAGAGGGGACCCCCCCCACACACACACACUCUGUGGCCCAGCAGUGGGGUACCAGGGAACUAGGGCUUGACGUGCAUCUGUGUGAAUUUAAAUAAACUUCAGACUAAGAGUAAAUUUAGUGAGAUGCAUUCUUCCUUUUUCCAUCUCAAUCAUCUAUCUGUUUCUGGUUGGUUUAUUAGAGUCUGUUUUUACCCAAACUUGACCUAUUGCCCUG